AGUGAACGCUGGCGGCAGGCCUAACACAUGCAAGUCGAACGGCAGCACAAGAGCGUUUGCUCUCUGGGUGGCGAGUGGCGGGCGGGUGAGGAAUGCAUCGAACUCUGCCCAUUUGUGGGGGAUAACCCGGGGAAACGGGGACUAAUACCGCAUACGACCUACAGGUGAAAGUAGGGGAUCUUCGGACGUUGCGCAGAUGGAUGAGCCGAUGCCGGAUUAGCUAGUUGGAGGGGUAAAGGCCUACCAAGGCGACGAUCCGUAGCUGGUCUGAGAGGAUGAUCAGCCACACUGGAACUGAGACACGGUCCAGACUCCUACGGGAGGCAGCAGUGGGGAAUAUUCGACAAUGGGCGAAAGCCUGAUCCAGCAAUGCCGCGUGUGUGAUGAAGGCCUUCGGGUUGUAAAGCUCUGUUGUUAGGAAAGAAAAGCAGCCGGUUAAUACCCGGUUGUCAUGACGGUACCCAAAGAAUAAGCACCGGCUAACUUCGUG
rnacentral:rRNA from 1 species